GGUAGCUCUAGUUUAACCGGUAAAACGCCUCACUGUGAAUGAGGAGAACAGGGUUCGAGUCCCGGUGCUACCC
rnacentral:tRNA from 1 species